AGCAGUGGGGAAUAUUGGACAAUGGGGGGAACCCUGAUCCAGCCAUGCCGCGUGUGUGAAGAAGGCCUUAUGGUUGUAAAGCACUUUAAGCGAGGAGGAGGCUCUUUUGGUUAAUACCCAAGAAGAGUGGACGUUACUCGCAGAAUAAGCACCGGCUAACUCUGUGCCAGCAGCCGCGGUAAUACAGAGGGUGCGAGCGUUAAUCGGAUUUACUGGGCGUAAAGCGUGCGUAGGCGGCUUUUUAAGUCGGAUGUGAAAUCCCCGAGCUUAACUUGGGAAUUGCAUUCGAUACUGGGAAGCUAGAGUAUGGGAGAGGAUGGUAGAAUUCCAGGUGUAGCGGUGAAAUGCGUAGAGAUCUGGAGGAAUACCGAUGGCGAAGGCAGCCAUCUGGCCUAAUACUGACGCUGAGGUACGAAAGCAUGGGGAGCAAACAGGAUUAGAUACCCUGGUAGUCCAUGCCGUAAACGAUGUCUACUAGCCGUUGGGGCCUUUGAGGCUUUAGUGGCGCAGCUAACGCGAUAAG
rnacentral:rRNA from 1 species